UCGAUAUAUUAUACUCCUCCUCGACCCCUCCUUCACCUCACUCCCCUUCCGCAGCGGCCGCCAUCGGCACCACCACCGUCACUAACCAUGACAACUUUAAUUUUCGCCCCCGCAACCACCGGCACUGCCCUUGAAACAAACGUGAUGAGAAAAAUCUUCGUUAGACGCUGCCACCACCACCACAGUGACUGCGGAUGAGGAAGACAACGACCCUCGUCUUCUGCAACCAAGCCGAUUGCGUUUACGGGGAACGCCCU
rnacentral:lncRNA from 1 species